UGGGGAAUAUUGGACAAUGGGCGCAAGCCUGAUCCAGCCAUGCCGCGUGAGUGAUGAAGGCCCUAGGGUUGUAAAGCUCUUUCACCGGUGAAGAUAAUGACGGUAACCGGAGAAGAAGCCCCGGCUAACUUCGUGCCAGCAGCCGCGGUAAUACGAAGGGGGCCAGCGUUGUUCGGAUUUACUGGGCGUAAAGCGCACGUAGGCGGACUAUUAAGUCAGGGGUGAAAUCCCGGGGCUCAACCCCGGAACUGCCUUUGAUACUGGUAGUCUUGAGUUCGAGAGAGGUGAGUGGAAUUCCGAGUGUAGAGGUGAAAUUCGUAGAUAUUCGGAGGAACACCAGUGGCGAAGGCGGCUCACUGGCUCGAUACUGACGCUGAGGUGCGAAAGCGUGGGGAGCAAACAGG
rnacentral:rRNA from 1 species